rnacentral:rRNA from 1 species
GUCUAUGGCCAUGCCAUCCUGAACGUGCCCGAUCUCGUCUGAUCUUGGAAGCUAAGCAGAGCCUGGUUAGUACUUAGACAGGAGACCACCUAGGAAUACCAGGUGCUGUAUAAC